ensembl:lncRNA
CUCUCUGUCCCUCUCUCUGUGUUUCUCUCUCUAUGUGUCCCUCUCUCUCAGUGUUUCUCUCUCUCUGUGUCCCCAUGUCUCUCUGUCCCUCUGUCUCUCUGUUUCUCUGUCUCUCUCUGUCUCUCUCGCUGUGUGUCACUCUCAUUCUGUCUCUCUCUGUCGGCAGGUGUCUCACAUCUCUGUGAUGCAGAGCUAGAUGUGGGGGCCGUGUUCCUGCCCCUCUCACGUAGAUUGACCUCGUUGGCCCCGGGGCCGACAUGAAGCGACCGACAAACCCUGCCACAUACACACCACAGAGAGGCUGUGUGUGUGUGUGUGUGUGUGUGUGUGUGUGUGUUUUGUUAGGACUCCUAGGCAGUACUCUUCAUAGUGGAGAGGCUAGCUGAUGAGCAUCAUUGCUGCUAAUGAAGAAUGACGGCGCUAGCGGGUGUAAACAAACGGCCCCCAUUGAGGAGGACGCCUGCUGCUGUAGCUUGUUCGCUCGCUGCUGUGCCCGCCACAAAGACCCCCUUUCAUGAGGGUCCACACUGGGGCACUGGCAGGGAGGCUGAAGGGGUGGUGGUUAUUGUUGGUAAAGGGACAGAUCUUAGUAUCGGAGCCAAUCACACCACACACCAAACCACGCAAUGUCAUACUCUUUGAUGCAAUACCACACUCUACCAUGCAAAACCACUUCAGUGUUCACCUAGUGCAAUGCGUCACUGGAAUAACCCAACGCGUGAUGAUAUACUGGUGGGAGGGGUCUGUCAGCUGUAAACAUGCCCUUCCUGGAAGGCAAGGCUAGGUUAAAGUGACACUUUUCCUUUGGCACAUAUUUACCCAAAAGCAGCAGCCUAGGGUCCACUCAACUGGUUAACCGUCCUUGACCGAUAUUACCUCUUCAUGAUCCUUGAUUAAAAACACUCAUCUAUCUCUAGCAUCUGUCUCCCAGCAAGAGACCUCAUGCAGCUCUAUUCCCAUGAUGCACCCCUCCACCUCUACUUCCUGGUUCCGUUCCCAAAGCCAGGAGCUCUGAUUUGACCUCAGAUGAACCUGUGUUAAAAGUGGCUGUGGUGGACGGAUGAUGGGGGGAGGGGGGGGGGCAGAAACUACUGAUGCAGCGCAUCAGGGGCGGCAUGUUGUGACAGUCUGUUGGGUAUCCUCUGAAAUGUGAAUAGAACAAGGCAGUUGGCCGGAGACGGCACUUGUUUUACUGUGUGUAUGUGUGAGAGUGAGAUAGUGAGCGCGAGAGAGGCUGACAGCAGCCAGCGUAUGUCUGUUCUUACUUCUUGGCCUACUUUAUGUAGUCCCUGGUAGAGCUUACUGGACAAAAACAAAAUCAGUGCCAUAUUAAUUACUGUUCUGUUGCGUGUAUGUUGGGUGCUCCAUGCCCGUUCUGAUUUAAUUGCCAC